UACGUAGGGAGCAAGCGUUAUCCGGAAUUACUGGGCGUAAAGGGCGUGUAGGCGGCCAAUUAAGCUAGGUGUAAAAUGUUACAGCUCAACUGUAAACCCGCAUCUAGAACUGGUUGGCUAGAGGAUGAGAGAGGAAAGUGGAAUUCCUAGUGUAGCGGUGGAAUGCGUAGAUAUUAGGAGGAACACCAGUGGCGAAGGCGGCUUUCUGGCUCAUACCUGACGCUGAGGCGCGAAAGCGUGGGGAGCAAACAGGAUUAGAUACCCUGGUAGUCCACGCCGUAAACGAUGAGUACUAGGUGUAGGAGGCAACAACCUUCUGUGCCGCAGCUAACGCAAUAAGUACUCCGCCUGGGGAGUACGCUCGCAAGAGUGAA
rnacentral:rRNA from 1 species